rnacentral:rRNA from 1 species
AACGAACGCUGGCGGCAGGCCUAACACAUGCAAGUCGAACGGGAUCUUCGGAUCUAGUGGCGGACGGGUGAGUAACGCGUGGGAACGUGCCCUUUGGUUCGGAAUAGCCCUGGGAAACUGGGAGUAAUACCGGAUGUGGUCGAGAGACGAAAGAUUUAUCGCCAAAGGAUCGGCCCGCGUUGGAUUAGGUAGUUGGUGGGGUAAUGGCCUACCAAGCCGACGAUCCAUAGCUGGUUUGAGAGGAUGAUCAGCCACACUGGGACUGAGACACGGCCCAGACUCCUACGGGAGGCAGCAGUGGGGAAUCUUAGACAAUGGGGGAAACCCUGAUCUAGCCAUGCCGCGUGAGCGAUGAAGGCCUUAGGGUUGUAAAGCUCUUUCGUGGGGGAAGAUAAUGACUAUACCCCAAGGAGAAGCCCCGGCUAACUCCGUGCCAGCAGCCGCAGUAAAAC